AUUGAACGCUGGCGGAAUGCUUUGCACAUGCAAGUCGAACGGCAGCACGGACUUCAGUCUGGUGGCGAGUGGCGAACGGGUGAGUAAUGUAUCGGAACGUGCCCAGUCGUGGGGGAUAACGUAGUGAAAAUUACGCUAAUACCGCAUACGAUCUAUGGAUGAAAGCGGGGGAUCGCAAGACAUCGCGCGAUUGGAGCGGCCGAUAUCAGAUUAGGUAGGUGGUGGGGUAAAGGCCCACCAAGCCAACGAUCUGUAGCUGGUCUGAGAGGACGACCAGCCACACUGGAACUGAGACACGGUCCAGACUCCUACGGGAGGCAGCAGUGGGGAAUUUUGGACAAUGGGCGAAAGCCUGAUCCAGCCAUUCCGCGUGCAGGAUGAAGGCCCUCGGGUUGUAAACUGCUUUUGUACAGAACGAAAAGGUUUCUACUAAUACUAGGAGCUCAUGACGGUACUGUAAGAAUAAGCACCGGCUAACUACGUGCCAGCCGCCGCGGUAA
rnacentral:rRNA from 1 species